CCGGGAUUGCCUUAGUAACGGCGAGUGAAGCGGCAAAAGCUCAAAUUUGAAAUCUGGUACCUUCGGUGCCCGAGUUGUAAUUUGGAGAGGGCAACUUUGGGGCCGUUCCUUGUCUAUGUUCCUUGGAACAGGACGUCAUAGAGGGUGAGAAUCCCGUGUGGCGAGGAGUGCGGUUCUUUGUAAAGUGCCUUCGAAGAGUCGAGUUGUUUGGGAAUGCAGCUCUAAGUGGGUGGUAAAUUCCAUCUAAAGCUAAAUAUUGGCGAGAGACCGAUAGCGAACAAGUACAGUGAUGGAAAGAUGAAAAGAACUUUGAAAAGAGAGUGAAAAAGUACGUGAAAUUGUUGAAAGGGAAGGGCAUUUGAUCAGACAUGGUGUUUUGUGCCCUCUGCUCCUUGUGGGUAGGGGAAUCUCGCAUUUCACUGGGCCAGCAUCAGUUUUGGUGGCAGGAUAAAUCCAUAGGAAUGUAGCUUGCCUCGGUAAGUAUUAUAGCCUGUGGGAAUACUGCCAGCUGGGACUGAGGACUGCGACGUAAGUCAAGGAUGCUGGCAUAAUGGUUAUAUGCCGCCCGUCUUGAAACACGGACCUCCUGUGUGAGGGACCCCCCUAAA
rnacentral:rRNA from 1 species